UGAAGCUUGGUUGUUCUUUUCGUUUUUACCUUUAACCUACACAAAGGUCGUAAAAUUUAGGCCGUAAGAGUUCCUUGGAAUCAUCAAAAGAAAAAAGUUUGAAUAAAAUUAUCUUCAAUGUUUCCUUUCUUCUCAGUCACUAUAAUAAGGAAAAGUGAAAUUCGGAAGAGAAAAAUAACUGGGUUGUGUAGGGAACGAAGGAAAAGACAGAAAGUGAGACGUCAGAAUGAGCCCUGUAGAAGGGAAGGGAAGUGGGGAAGGGGGGGUGCGUUGAAUGAGUGGAUGAUCACAGAGCUAGGAGACGGUGUCCUCAUCCACAUCUCUCCUUCCUUCCUCCCUCUGCAGAAUUACUCCUUACUCUUCCUCUCUUUCUCCUCUUCUCUUGUUGCCUAGUUCCUCCCAUCAGGAAUGGAAUUGCUUUUAUGAUAUGAUGCCGCUGUUGAAUCAUCGCGGCCUUCUCACGGGGCUUGAUUCUUUAUGUUGGCAAUAGAGAGGGAAGCCAGAGAGAUAAAGAGAGCGAUCCAUGGUGGUUCAGGUUCUUCUAUUGGUACAAGAGACUUUUUCACGUCUAAGGUGAAAUUUGUCCUUGGAAUAUGGCCCUGGAGGAUUCAUGAAAUCAUGGAGUCUUGAAGGCAUCUGGAUUCAUGAUGGCAGCCACCCCCUUGGAUCUGGUGAGGACAAUAGAUUCCGCAGCUGGAUGUGUCAUGUGAUGAGUGGCUGGAAUCUCUUCUGUCUGUGUGUUGCUUGGUGUUAUUGGUUACCGGAGCUCGCUUAGCAGUGGCGGAAAAUCAUGGAGUCCCAAUUUUCUUUCUUCCUGUGCAGCUGAUGGAAAUCCUUCAUCCUCAUCUUUUCCCUUGAUUGUCACUCGAGUCAAGUGUUGGGCAGCAUCUGAUCGGUAGUCACCCCCUGGAUCAAGAAAAUCAUGUCGAAUUUAACUUCAGCUUCUGGUGAGGCCAGUGUUUCGUCGGGCAAUAAAACCAACCAGUAUCAGUCAACAAAUCCAGCUCCAGCAAAGAAGAAGAGAAACCUCCCAGGAAAUCCAGAUCCAGAUGCAGAAGUAGUAGCUCUGUCGCCCAAGACUCUGCUGGCCACAAACAGAUUCGUAUGUGAGAUUUGCAACAAGGGGUUUCAAAGAGACCAAAACCUUCAGCUCCACAGAAGAGGUCACAACCUUCCAUGGAAGCUCAGACAAAGGACAAGCAAAGAGGUAAAGAAGAAGGUCUACAUAUGCCCAGAGCCUUCAUGUGUCCACCAUGAUCCAUCAAGAGCACUUGGGGACCUCACCGGCAUCAAGAAGCACUUCUGCAGGAAGCAUGGCGAGAAGAAGUGGAAAUGUGAAAAGUGCUCAAAGAAAUACGCGGUUCAGUCAGACUGGAAGGCUCACUCCAAAACUUGUGGCACCAGGGAGUACCGAUGUGACUGUGGCACUCUCUUCUCAAGGAGGGACAGCUUCAUCACUCACAGAGCCUUCUGUGAUGCCUUAGCAGAAGAAAGUGCAAGGGUGACAGCAGUGUCAAUGAACUCCCUCCUACCAAACCAAGCAACUACCGCCUCAUCAAUGGGGCAUGGACCUACCGCCAUGCCCGGCCUAACAGGACCAUCCCCGCCCACACUGCAGUCGACCCAAUUUCCACUUGACCUUCAAUCAUCAGGACUAACCCUAAAAAGAGAAGAGGACUUCAGCACGAGGCCCAUGGAGGUUCCGCUGUGGCUGGCGGCAGGACCGCCAUCAACCCUGAACCAAUUGGAGGCGUCUUCUCCACUGUUGUCUACGCGCCUGAGCCAUGACUAUUCGAGCUCCCAGCUCACACAAGAACCAAGAGGCUCCUGUAGCGCUGCUGCUCACAUGUCAGCGACGGCACUGUUGCAGAAAGCAGCUCAGAUGGGUGCAACUGUGAGCAAACCUUCGUCCAUGCUGAGAGCCGCUUCUCAUAUCCCCAUCGGUGGACUACCACCUACGAGAUCCGGCUUCGGGUUGGGCCUCUCUUCGUGGCUAGACGCAGCUGGUUCUUCAGCUGCCACGUCUGCUGUUAGCUCCACUUCUGCUGCUGCUGCCGCCGCCGCAGAAGCUUCAAGCUUGCAAGAGAUGAUGAGUUCCUUGACAGGAGGGCCUGGUUUUGGCUCUUAUGAAGAGGCACUUGGUGGGUACUUGAGUUCAAGAAGGGAGGAACAAGGAGGAAACGAAGGCUUGACGAGGGACUUCUUGGGUGUUGGGGGUCCUUCUGGAGUUUCCGGUCUUAGGGGUCUCUCUCAGCGAGACAUGUUCACCAUGGCUGCUGCCUCUGGUAUGGGCGGUGCCGGUCAGUGUGUGAAUCCGCCGUUAGGUGUGAGCGCAGCUGCCACCAACAGUAAUUCUAGCUUUAAAAAUGACGCCGCUUCCACUGCCCACUUCUCUAGUCCAAGACAAUAUUGGCAUUUUUGGAAUCUGGGUACCAAUCUGUGGUGGAAAUAAAUUCAUGUAUUGCGGAGGGAGGGAAUUCUUGAUCAGUGUCUUCAUUCAACAAUCCAAUAACAACAAGAAGAAAAAUCCAAAGUAGCUUCCUUUUGUCAACAUCAGGUCGAAUAUUUGCUUACAACAUAACACUGCAAUCCUUCGCUUCAUUCAUACUCAUGCAUCGAAUUCUAGCUGGGAGGAAAUUAAAGCCAGAAAAGAAAAACUCGAAAUCCGAUUAAAACAUGGGGCUGCUUCAAAUCUGUCACAGCAAAAUGGCAAAAGCAAAUGUAUCUGUGCCACUGAGACAGCUGCACGGGAGGGCCGGUCGUAAUCUGUGUCACAGAACAAUAGACGGUGGUGGAGUUCACGUGAUAAAGUAAUUGGUUUCUGCAUUAGAAUCUAAGCUCGAAUGUCAAGUCCAAUUAGAUUGCAUUAGCUGAUCAAACUUAAUAUAACCCGGCCGUAAAUGAAUUCAUGUCUGCCAAACAUGAGAGAGAGAGAGAGAGAGAGAGAGA